rnacentral:rRNA from 1 species
GAGAUGUAACUUGCCUUUGCGAGGGGGAUAACUGUUGGAAACGACUGCUAAUACCGCAUAAUGUCUACGGACCAAACGGGGCUUACGCUCCGGCGCAAAGAGAGGCCCAAGUGAGAUUAGCUAGUUGGUAAGGUAAAGGCUUACCAAGGCAACGAUCUCUAGCUGUUCUGAGAGGAAGAUCAGCCACACUGGGACUGAGACACGGCCCAGACUCCUACGGGAGGCGCAGUGGGGAAUAUUGCACAAUGGGGGAAACCCUGAUGCACCCAUGCCGCGUGUGUGAGGAAGGCCUUCGGGUUGUAAAGCACUUUCAGUUGUGAGGAAAAAGUUAGUAUUUAAUACCUGCUAGCCGUGACGUUAAACAACAGAAGAAGCACCGGCUAACUCCGUGCCAGCAGCCGCGGUAAUACGGAGGGUGCGAGCGUUAAUCGGAAUUACUGGGCGUAAAAGCGCACGCAGGCGGUUUGUUAAUCUAGAUGUGAAAGCCCCCGGGCUCCACCUGGGAUGGUCAUUUAGAACUGGCAGACUAGAGUCUUUUAGAGAGGGGGAGUGGAAUUCCAGGUGUAGCGGUGAAAUGCGUAGAUAUCUGGAGGAACAUCAGUGGCGAAGGCGACUCCCUGGCCAAAGACUGACGCUCAUGUGCGAAAGUGUGGGUAGCGAACAGGAUUAGAUACCCUGGUAGUCCACACCGUAAACGCUGUCUACUAGCUGUUUGUGACUUUAAGUCGUGAGUAGCGAAGCUAACGCGCUAAGUAGACCGCCUGGGGGAGUACGGCCGCAAGGUUAAAACUCAAAAUGAAUUGACAGGGGGCCCGCACAAGCGGUGGGGGCUUUUGUUUAAUUCGAUGCAACGCGAAGAACCUUACCUACUCUUGACAUGCAGAGAACUUUCUAGAGAUAGAUUGGUGCCUUCGGGAACUCUGACACAGGUGCUGCAUGGGUGUCGUCAGCUCGUGGUCGUGAGAUGUUGGGUUAAUUCCCGCAACGAGCGUCACCCUUGUUCUUAGUUGCCAGCCUUAAGUUGGGCACUCUAAGGAGACUGCCGGUGACAAACCGGAGGAAGGUGGGGACGACGUCAAGUCAUCAUGGCCCUUACGUGUAGGGCUACACACGUGCUACAAUGGCAUUUACAGAGGGAAGCGAGACAGUGAUGUGGAGCGGACCCCUUAAAGAAUGUCGUAGUCCGGAUUGGAGUCUGCAACUCGAUC